AUGUUGGUAUGUAGCAUCCUCGGGCCGUCGGAGCAUCAUCGGUGUUGCAAUGGAGCAUCCCGGAGCGUUGCCGGUGUUGCGAUGGAGCACCGCCAGGCUGUCGAAGCGUCUUUGGUGUUGCGAUGGAGCAUCGCCGGGCCGCCGAAGCAUCAACGCUACUUCAUGGGGAUGGUCGCAGUAGCGUUGUUACGGCAACCCGGUGCUGCAACCAUGAGCUCGCCAGCGCUGCAGCCGUGGCCGUUGUGUGGUGAGCUUGUAGGCGUUUUACUCUGA
rnacentral:rRNA from 1 species